CAGAGAGGCAGAUAUAUUCUUAAGAGGUUUAUCAGAUGUGAGAAGUUAGCUGUUGCCCAGUAUUUCUCAACUUCUUGUGGAUUUGGAUAAACAUUCCCUGAUGGAUUCUUACUUGUUGACUAUUAUGAAAAAUGAGGAGAGGCUGUAGUCCAUAGGGCAGGAACUCAUGAAAGAAAGAUGGAUGUGAACUGGGGGAGGCAAGAACAAACUGAAAACUGGGGUUGAGCUGGACAUCAACAGGGUGGACAGGAACUCAGGAGCUGGAGAAACUGAUGGAGGAGAAUUGGUAGGAGCUAGAGUUGCUGUAAGUCUGGCAGUUGCCCCACACUAGCUGGGUGAGCCAGCAGAUAACAGACAACUAUAACACUUGCUGGUGUUCUGCACUGACACUACAAGUUUUAAAAGAUGGCUGCUACUUCGUUUCUGCCUUCUAACUCUCAUGUAAAAAAUCCCUCAUGGUCCUGGAGCUAUGUGUUGGGCAACAGUUCUUCAUGGUUCUCUCAUUUUCCUGUACACCUUGAGAGCAAAGACAAUGUCAGACUUUAUUCUGAAAUAUCUUUUAAAAAAAUAUUUUUCUUGAAAGAAAGAGAGAGUGUUUUCCAUUGGGACAGAGUGCAGAUUUGUUUACUUUCUAGUAUAAUAAGACAAUAAUAUGAUAAUAUCACUUUCCAAGGCAAAGGUUGGAUGGAUUUGCUUGCAGUCCAUAAUAAAAGAUUGGGAGUUUUUUUGUUUCUUUGUUUGUUUGUUUGUUUUGCAGGAUAGGGUGGAAUGGUGACAGAAGGAGCUGUAUGAAUAAGAAGCUUAUGCUGCCUGCUCUGCUGUGAGUAAUAGAACCCUCUGUUUGUAACCUGGUAGUCUCGUGUCUUCUGCCAGAUCUAUGAACUGUGGCAGACUUUUAAGUGGGUAAAAUCUAAAGACUCUUUACAAUUCUUAACACUUUGCAGAGAAGUGAAUUCUGGAAAAAUGUAGUUACAGCUUAGCUAAAUUGACAACACAAAUCCACGGCAGAGGGCCCAAGGGAGAGAGGAGGAAGGGGAGAAGGAGAAGAGGGGGCAGGAAAGAGCCCAAAUGUGGCAAAAUGUUAGCAAAUGGUGCAUCGAGAUGAAAGCUAUGUCAGUAUUCAUAGUACUAUUCUUUCAACUGAAAUUUCACAAAGUAAAAAAGAGGGGAAAAUCGCUUAGACUGCUGUGUGAGACAACAGAGUGGGAAGACCUGAAGCCAGGAUAUUAGUUACGAAAUCUCAAAAAGCUGUCCAAACCACAAACCAGAAAUCUGGUUUCGAGCCAUUUUAUCUGCUUCCUUUCCCACAUCAAAACUAU